rnacentral:lncRNA from 1 species
AUGGGUAUCUAUCGAAAUCAAUCUCGAACUGAUCUCUUCAUAGUAGAUUUUUCUUCUCCAAAUAGAAUCUCAAUCUUGAGAAUCUUGAUCAACUCUUUGAUUUGGACUGUGACAUCAACUCCUUGAUCUGCAGCCUUUUCUCUACGUUCCUUGCUGUAGAUUGACAGCAUCUCUACCCUUGGCAUGUGGAAGAUGGGAUGCCAACCCUUGGGCAUAUAAAGGAGAAGAGAGGGAGGAGGGGAGGCAUGGAGAAAAGAGAGAGACC